rnacentral:rRNA from 1 species
UCGGCAACGGAUAUCUCGGCUCACGCAUCGAUGAAGAACGUAGCAAAAUGCGAUACUUGGUGUGAAUUGCAGAAUCCCGUGAACCAUCGAGUUUUUGAACGCAAGUUGCGCCCGAAGCCUUUUGGUUGAGGGCACGUCUGCCUGGGCGUCACAC